GGUGACCAACAUAUCCGAAUUUCACCCAGAUCGGAUCAGGGGUUCGCAAAAAACUAUGGAGGUCUUCUGUGACCGGCUUAACCUGGGCUAUAUGCCCAAAACAGUUCCAUGAGUUUGGUGGGUUUUGCCGGUCACUUUAGAAAGAGGAGAAAAACGAACAAACUACCGAAUGGAUCCCCCUGGCUCUUAGCAGCGAUCGUUCCCCUCUGUCGAAUGCACCAA